GAUGAACGCUAGCGAUAGGCUUAACACAUGCAAGUCGAGGGGCAGCACAAGGUAGCUUGCUAUCUGGGUGGCGACCGGCGCACGGGUGCGUAACGCGUAUGCAACUUGCCCUAUACAGGAGGAUAACCCGUCGAAAGACGGACUAGUACUGCGUAUGCUCACAACUUGGCAUCAAGUGGUGAGGAAAGAAAUUCGGUAUAGGAUAGGCAUGCGUCCCAUUAGCUUGUUGGUGAGGUAACGGCUCACCAAGGCAACGAUGGGUAGGGGAACUGAGAGGUUUAUCCCCCACACUGGUACUGAGACACGGACCAGACGCCUACGGGAGGAAGCAGUGAGGAAUAUUGGUCAAUGGGCGCGAGCCUGAACCAGCCAAGUCGCGUGAAGGAUGACUGUCUUAUGGAUUGUAAACUUCUUUUAUACGGGAAUAACAAGAGUCACGUGUGACUCCCUGCAUGUACCGUAUGAAUAAGCAUCGGCUAACUCCGUG
rnacentral:rRNA from 1 species